GCCCCGCGCGGGCACCCCCGGGAGCGCCCCGGGCCGGCGGGCACCCCCGGAUACCUGGCGGCGGCGGGCGGGCGCCGUCAUCCCCGCGCUCCUCGGCCCGAGCGGGACUCGAAAAGGCUCCCGUCUCAACUCUGCAACGCAGGGGCCCUCCUUGGAGCUGCUCCUUCUCCAUCCCCUGGGCGGCCGCCACCGCGCUGGGCUGGCCUCGGCGGGGCUUAGGCGGCCCAAGUUAUCACCGAGCCCCAGAGACACCAGGCCCGGGCUGUGCUUCCUCCAACAAGCCACUGACACGCUUCCUUCCCACUGUUCAUACUUUUCCUACAGGGCUUCUGCGAGGGGGGCCUGUUCGUGGCCCUUGGAAACCUCUUUAGACAGAUAGGGGAGGACUGUGGUUUUGGAAAAUAAACAUCACCCCACCCGGCCGGUUUCUGAGGACAAACGUGCCUCCUAACUAGUUGUAGAGAAGACUACUGUAGAGUUAGGGCGUUGCAGAUGAGUUGGGCAAGGCGGGGUGAUAGGGUUGCUGCUGGCUUCUCUCUACGGACUGUGACCUUUGACCUCGGCUCUCCCACUCGGGCUCCUGUGAGGGCACUUGGGUGCCACACAAAGUCGAACACGCCGUCAUGGGUGGGCCUUUGAUUUGCGGCCUCCCGUGGAACUCUGGUUUUCAGGGCUGCAGCUGGAAAGAAGUGUCUGUCUAGGCAUGGAUGAAAUGAAUGGAUUCUGGCCAAGAUAGAACUUUACAGAACCAAGCAAAAACAGUUGGACCAUUACCCCUGACGGGAACUGAUUCAGCUGCUGGUCUCUCUGACGUCCAGAAUCAUCAACAUUAAGUUUUCAGAACCUGUUAUGUUUCCCAGGGUCUACUGUUUACUGAGGAAAACUAGUCAGAGAAACUUCGGCACUUGCAUUUUCCUAUGCCUCCCUCCGCUCCCACCACCACCACCGCCCCCCCAGGUCCCCAAGUGUGUUAUCAAGUGCUUUUGUGAAGACAGGCAUGCCAAAGGAGGAACAGGCGGGUCUCUAAGCAGAAGUAAUAGUUCACACGGUCACCAGAGAAUUGGUGUCUGGAGCUUCUGAGUUGUAACCUGUUCCCGUGAGAAGGCAAAAAGGAAGGCCAAGGAGGGAAUGCUAGUUUAUUUAGUUGCCUUGCCUCAAGAUUCAAGAGUGAUUAGCCAUUCCUCGUCCCCCCCCGCCCCCAGCCAGUGGUAAGUUUUGAAUAGGAACAACAUCAAAAUUGGAAUUUUGCUUAUGAUGUUAGCUUAUUCUGUAAAAAUACACUGAAACCUACAAAGCUGCAUGAAUUCUCAUGACCACUCACCACCUUUAUAACCUCAUCUAAAAAGAACUUAAAAGUAACUUUUCAAAACCAAACUCUAGGGCUGUCUCGCUGGCCCAGUCAGUAGAGCAUGUGACUCCUGACCUCAGGGUCAUGAGUUCAAGCCCCACAUCGGGCAUGGAGUCCCACUUUUAAAAAAAUAAAAAUAAAAAUUGAAUUCUAAUGAUA